GACUAGUAUGAAUGGNACCACGAGGGCUCAACUGUCUCCUUCCUCCAAUCAAUGAAAUUGAUCUUCUCGUGAAGAAGCGAGAAUAUUAUUAUUAGACGAGAAGACCCCAUGGAGCUUUAAACUCAUUACCAAUUACUUAACCACUAAACCAUAAUAUGUAGUAAAAAUGUUCUUAAUAGUUUUCGGCUGGGGUGGCCCUGGAGUAAAACAAAUCCUCCAGAAUGAACGGAAUAAAGCCCUAAUCUAAGAAUUACAGCUCAAAGAAUCAAAAAACUGACAUUAUUGAUCCAAUUAAUUGAUUAACGAAACAAGUUACCCUGGGGAUAACAGCGCAAUCCAUUUUGAGAGCCCCUAUCAACAAAUGGGUUUACGACCUCGAUGUUGGAUCGGGGUAUCCCGGUGGCGCAGCCGCUACUAAUGGUUCGUUUGUUCAACGAUUAAUAACCCCACGUGAUCUGAGUUCAAACC
rnacentral:rRNA from 1 species